rnacentral:rRNA from 1 species
GUCUAUGGCCAUGCCACCCUGAAUGCCCCUGAUUGUUUCCUAUCUUGGAAGCUAAGCGGGGUGGGGCCUAGUUAGUACUCGGAUGGGAGAAUGAGGGUGUGUGCCAGACA